AGCAGUUUAAAGCAAUGAAUGUUUAUCUCACAGGUUUUGUGGGUUAGGAAUUCAGGAGCAAUUUAGCUGGGUGCUUCUGGCUUGGUGUCUUUCGAAUCAUGCUGUGGGCCAGGGCAGAAGUCAGUGAAACGUGACUGGGGCUGGAGGUUCCUCUUCCAGGCUCAUUCAUGCAGCUGUCGUCCAGAAACUGCCGUGGCACCAUCUCCUUCAGGCUUCGCACAGCAUGGCUUCCCUCACUGUUCUAAUCUCCGAAAUGGCACGCUUUCACUUCGUCUCUCUUCUCUUUGUAAGGAGCCAGUCACUUAAGUCCAGCCCAUGCUCAGGAGGAAGGAAGGCAGCCACCAUGUAAGUGGAAGUCCCCCGGAGAGUCAGUAGAAGGGAAGAAUGGCUUGAUUCCUGCCCCCAUCUCUCGGCCAAAGGAUCCUGAGGAAAGCAAUGCUAACUCUUGGCAGAAGGGACAUCCAGCAAUCAGCCAUCUCUCUUGCAAGUGUUCUGGACUUCUCUAUUAAAAAACAGCCUGUUCAGCCAGCAUGUGUCACUGUGUCAUAUUCUGAGGUAGAAAUGGGCUUCCCUGGUGGCUCAGAUGGUAAAGAAUUUGCCUGCAAUGCAGGAAAUGCAGCCUUGAUCCCUGGGUUGGGAAGAUAUAUAAAUGGUCACAACAGCAAGUGGGGGAUCAUUGAGCUUGACACAUUUCAGAUGACUACACGGGGCCAACGCAGCAGCCCCACCCUCCAUGCUGGUGUGUUGUAUAUGAGAUGUGUCCAUGGAGCAUGGGAGCUUAAUGUCCCCUGACUGUCAGUCUCAUAUCAAUGUGGCUGCUAGAUUGCUGCAUUUCCAGCAACCCAUUUGGAUUAAAGAACCUCGAAACGCCCAUGUUGGGAUCUCUAUGUGACAGCAUUGAGAGUGUCAUCUGAAGGCAGCAGGAAGUCUGACAGUCACUAAACUUGUUUUAGAAGCUAGAAAUUCUACCAUUUGUGAAGAUGAAGGCAGUUUGAACCUUUCUGGAUGAAUGCUGCAGUUUGUUUUUGGAACUGAACCUCUGACCUUCCUGAAGGACUGUCUCUUUGACUUUACAGAUUUGCUUUAGCAGAGCCAGAUCGUCAUCAGUCUACUCAGUUUGGAUUUCCAGACAUGUCUCCUGGUGAUAAGAAUAAUUGCAAGAUCCUUUCAGCUUCGAUCCUGUGCUGUCUGCCCACUUCUGCAUUAUUCCAGUUGAUGAUUCAGUGUUUAUUAUUCCACAAAUAGAAGCCAGCUUAGACGUGUUCGUGCUAUAUGUGUGUAUAUUCUCACCUUUAUUAGAACUUUCUUGCUGCCCUUUGAAAAUGCUCUUCUCCUGCCUCAGGGCUCUUGCACCUGCUGUUAUGUUUCCCUGGACUGUUCUUGGCUAAGAUACUUGCAUCAUUCUCUUCCUCAUCAACUUCAGGCAUGCUGUUUAAAUUGCACUCCCUAGCAAUCCUUAUUUCUCCUCUCCUCUCUUUCUUUACUCCGUAGUACUUACAUACCUCUGACAUAUUUUCAUUAUCAAUUUCCUCUUACUAAAUGCAGGCUCCAAGAAUGUAGAGAUUUUUGUUGGUUUUAUUCACUGCUCUAUCUCCAGCAUUUCAAACUAGUAAGCCUGUCCCAUAAUAAGUGUUCAGUAAAGGUUUGUUUAAUAUAUUAUAAAUAAAUGUGUAUUAUGGGUAGAAAAACCAAGAUGAAAGGUGAUGUGUGUACUCAUUAGAAUGCAAUUUCCAUGAGGGUAGGAGCUGAGUUUUGUCACAUGCUUCCUGGUGUCCUGAAGUGGGCUUGAUACCUAAUAGACAUUCAGUAUACCUUUAUGGAUUGGAUGGAUCAGAGCUCAUUAAUAAAAUAAUUGGAAAUAUUAUUAAGUUUUUAAAGGAGAGAUGAAAAGAAGAAAAAAGAAGACACAAUGAAUAUGUAUUUGUAUUUCAGAGCUCACUUUCAUUUUACAGUGGCUUUUACGAAGAUUAUAUGUAUUUUAUUAGGUUAGAGCCACAAUUUCAAAUAAAAUUUACAAUUCCCCCAUGACAGAAAAUCACAUUGUGAAUAAAUAUAGCUUAUCAUGAAAACUCUUACAC
ensembl:lncRNA